rnacentral:rRNA from 1 species
UGAGGUAACGGCUCACCAAUGCGACGACGGGUAGCCGGCCUGAGAGGGUGAACGGCCACACUGGGACUGAGAUACGGCCCAGACUCCUACGGGAGGCAGCAGUGCUGAAUCAUUCACAAUGGGCGAAAGCCUGAUGAUGCAACGCCGCGUGGAGGAUGAAGGCCUUCGGGUUGUAAACUCCUGUCAGGGAUUAGGAAUCUGACCAAUCCCAGAGGAAGCACCGGCUAAAUUCGUGCCAGCAGCCGCGGUAAUACGAAUGGUGCGAGCGUUGUUCGGAAUUACUGGGCAUAAAGGGUCCGUAGGCGGCCGGCUAAGUCACCUGUGAAAGCCCCCGGCUCAACCGGGGAAUUGCAGAUGAUACUGGUCGGCUUGAGGUUGUGAGGGGUGAGCGGAAUUCCAGGUGUAGCGGUGAAAUGCGUAGAUAUCUGGGAGAACGCCGACGGCGAAGGCAGCUCACUGGCGCAUACCUGACGCUGAGGGACGAAAGCGUGGGGAGCAAACAGGAUUAGAUACCCUGGUUAGUCCACGCCGUAAACGAUGGGCACUAGACAGUGGACGGUACUGACCCGUUCAUUGUCGGAGCAAAUGCGGUAAGUGCCCCGCCUGGGGAGUAUGGUCGCAAGGCUAAAACUCAAAGGAAUUGACGGGGGCUCACACAAGCGGUGGAGGAUGUUGUUCAAUUCGAAGCAACGCGAAGAACCUUACCCGGCUUUGACAUGCUAGUGGUACAAACCUGAAAGGGAGCGGACAUUGGUAAAACAAGGAGCUAGCACAGGUGCUGCAUGGCUGUCGUCAGCUCGUGUCGUGAGAUGUUGGGUUAAGUCCCGUAACGAGCGAAACCCUUGUCGUCUGUUGCUACCAGGUAAUGCUGGGCACUCUGACGAGACUGCCGGUGUUAAACCGGAGCAAGGUGGGCACGACGUCAAGUCAUCAUGGCCCUUACGGCCGGGGCGACAAACGUCCUACAAUGGCAAGUACAAAGAGAAGCAAUACCGAGAGGUGGAGCAAAUCUCCAAAGCUUGCCAUAGUUCAGAUUGGAGGCUGAAAUUCGCCUCCAUGAAGGUGGAUCGCUAGUAACCGGAGAUCAGCCA